UUCGACAGAAUAUGUAUAUUGUUCCAGAAGAUGGAAAGGAACAGGAACUGGGACGGGAACGGACGACGAUGCCAAGCGGUGGUAACGGAACGGAGUGGGUAACGCAGGGACGAGCGGAACUAGUCCGAGUGAAAUUCUCCAACGACGGAAACCUCCUGGCCUCGGCCUCCCUGGACAAGACGAUGAUCCUCUGGUCGGCAAGCGAGCAGCAUCUCCGAUCUAGCAUGGUCCGACGACUGCACGCUUCGAAUCUGGGACGCUAGGGCUCCCUACGAGUGUCUCAAGGUGCUCAGAGGCCACACCGUCGAGUCUGAUCGUGUCUGGCUAGACGAUUCGGAUCUGGGAGGUGCGUGCGCGUGAUUAAGGCUCAUUCCAUGCCUCUUACGAGCGUGCAUUUCAAUCGCGAUGGUUCUUGUAAGAUAUGGGAUGCCAAGGAAGGGACUUGCUUGAAGACUUUUUUUUUUUUUUUGACUCAACAACUACAUAUUCAUUUCACCAAUUCUUGGUACAAAGCUUAUGACCACACAAGUUUCUACCACAUAUACAAUGAAGUAGUCUAGUUACACCCUGAUUCACUAGUUGGAACCAACGCAACCUAACAUCCUUCACUGUAUUCACUUGCUUGAUGAUAUAAGUCUCCUGCUGCUAAGUUCUCUCCUAAUGGCAAGUUGCCACUCUUGAUGAUACUACUCUCAAGCUGUCCAACUAUGCAACUCGCAAGUUUAUAAAGGUAUACACCGGACAUACCAACAAAGUAUUCUGCAUCGUUUUCUGUUACCAACGGCAAAGUACAUUGUGAGCGGAUCUGAAGACAACUCUGUGUAUCUGUGGGAUCAAGGCCACACAGACGCCGUGAUCUCUGUCACUUGCCAUCCUCUUCACAACCUGAUUGCUUCAUCCGCAAACCAUCAGGAUAUGGACACAACAGGAUGCUUAGACACAUGAGUUUGAUUAUUAUGUAAUUUGCUUUCUGAGAUUUGAUUAUACACGCAAAUCAUUUUGAUAAAACCAUCAGCAUAUGGACACAACAGGAUGUAUUAUCCCCUAGACUAUAUUUGCGAAAUGAUUUUGCCACAUGUC